rnacentral:lncRNA from 13 species
AUGGCAUUUUGCAAAAACCACCAGCCGGGCUCCGUGGCUGCUACCCAGCAGCUUCUUGGGGACAAAGGGGACACAAUGUGUGGCUGCACGUGGCAGCUGCCCUGUGCUGCCCACCCCUCUACUGUGUGGGACCCUGGGGACCGUGUCCCAAGGCAGAGGGGGACACAGCACAGCCUCUGCUCCCUCCCUGAGCAUCCAAGACUCCCAUGGGGAUGGCAGAGUGGCUCGAAGGCUGCUGCUGCAGCGGGACGGGGACAGCCAAAGGCAGAGCCCCAGCCCAGAACACCCCUGGGACACCCGUCACGCUCGGGGGGUGGCUGCCCGUUGCGUGGAAGCGCUCUGGUGUCUCGAGGUUCAAAGCCCAGCCCUGCUGGAAGUGGGGAUGCAAAGGGCACAGGGCCCCGGGAGCUGCCCUUGCAUCAUGUGUGGAGCCGUGCCAGCCACCAGCGGGGCCGCGGCAGCUCCCGCGGGGCUGUGCCAGCGCCGGGGACACGCACUCGGGUGCUGGCUGGGGAUCUGUGCCAGCCCCCGGUGGGUUACCCUGUCCCGCGGGUGGCCCCUCUGUCGCUGUCACCGCAGUCCCUGUUUGCGCAGCCGGCGCCGCAGCGAGAGGCUCUCGGCUCGUGUUUGCCCAGCGCCGGGAUGAAAGGGCUGCGCGGCCCCUCCAGCCCUCUCCAGCGGUGCUUUUGCACCUUCAAAGCACCCGGGAGUCCCUUGAAGCCGGGACAAGCUCCUGCCUCGCCCUGGGAAAAGCUGGGGGCGUCCCAGAGGCCAGCAGGGAGGGAGGAAGGAAGGAGGGAGGAAGGAAGGAAGGAAGGAAGGAAGGAGACGUGGCCGGGCGCUAUAGGCUGCGGGAGGGUUCGCUCCUGUGCUUGCGGAUGUGCUGGUGUUGGAACAGGCGGCUGGAGGCAGUGCCAGCCGUGUCCCCGCCGUGACCACUUGUCACUGCAGAAGGAAGCUGGCGUUGCAGGGAUGCAGCAUCCUGCUGGGCUCCCCCGGCUCCCCAAGGACACAGCGUGUCCCUCUGGACCCCAGGCUGGAUGUGCCAGGUGCUGCUGGAGGGAGCUGUGUGUGUAUCCCAGGACAUCCCAACCUCCCUCCAGCCCGUGGCUCCUGACAUCCCCGGCAGCUCCCAACGCCUCCACGGCCCUUCCUCCGUGCACGGACCUCGUUCCUCAUGGGCACUGUGUCUCCCAGCUCUGUUUUUCUGACGUCCCCACAGCCCCCCCUUGUUUUAUUCAGCUUCUUGCUGGAGUUGGUGGCUUUCAGAGGGGAAAAGCUCCCGGCUGGGUCUGUGAGGGCUUUGGGAAGGAGUGGGGAUGCCUCCAGGUGGCAUCCAGGGUGGCAACCUGA